rnacentral:lncRNA from 1 species
GGUCCAUCCCAAGCCCUCCGUCCAGGGCCGCUGCCGUGGGAGGCCCCAAGCAAGAGCGUGCUGUGUGAGGUGGUCCUGCGUGGGCCCCAUUCCACCAGAAUGACCAGGAGGGCCGGGGAGCUGGGGGCAGCCUCUCCAGGGAGCGGAGCCUGAGCUCAGCCCCGGGAGGCUCCUGGUGGGCAGGCGAGGCCCCCUGCACUGGAGGCUCUGCUGGGCCUGGGCAGGAGGGACCGGGAGCUCCCUGCAGCUGCCGCUCAGCCCACCCCUCCCCUCCUCCACACGAGGCCGUCCAGCUGGGCUGGGAGGGGUGAGGGUCUGUGCUGGGAUAGCCCCAGAGCAGGGACGCAGGGGCUCGCCAUCUACUGCUCAGUGCCACUGGGUGCCCGGACAUCACCCUCACUGCCUCUGCUCCCCAGAUGCCUGCAGAGAGGUCCAUCACCCCCCUCGGACCGGGCAGCUGAGGCUGGAGGCAGGCCACAGAGCAGGGACGUCAGACUCGCGUCCCGUCCACUGUCCCCAGCUGUCCCCAUGACCACAACUCCGGGCAGGUGGGACCUGGGAGGUUGGCCAUGGACCUCCUGUCUCCCACACCUCAAGUCCACCUCUGGAUUAAAUGCCAGAGGACCCCCUCUUUGCAGGCCCUUGAACCCUAAAUAGGAGGCGUUUUGGAGACAACCAGGUGAACCCUGGAGAACUCCCGCACCCGUCUGUCUCUGUGACCUUGGGCAGGGCACUGCACCUCUCUGAGCCUGGCCCUCCCUGUGAAACGGGCUUUCGCGACCACCUCGUAGGGUCUUCAUGAGCACAAGGUGGAGGGAAGGCCGGGGCAGCCCACCCUGCCGCCCUCCUCUUCUGCCCAAAGGGUGACCUUAACCCCCGCUGCUCACAGGCACAGUGUCAGCGUCUGGAACACUGCGGGCACACGGGCGCGGUCGGGACAUCAAGUGACAUUAGGUGGCGAUUUUCUGUGACGUGGUACUUGGGCCCCCAGCACCACGGUCUCCU